rnacentral:rRNA from 1 species
UAAAUGCAUCGAACGGCAGACGGACUUCGGUCUGGUGGCGAGUGGCGAACGGGUGAGUAAUGUAUCGGAACGUGCCCAGUAGCGGGGGAUAACUACGCGAAAGCGUAAGCUAAUAACCGCAUAACGCCCUACGGGGGGAAAGCAGGGGAUCUUCGGACCUUGCACUAUUGGAGCGGCCGAUAUCGGAUUAGCUAGUUGGUGGGGUAACGGCCUACCAAGGCGACGAUCCGUACUGGUUUGAGAGGACGACCAGCCACACUGGGACUGAGACACGGCCCAACUCUACGGGAGGCAGCAGUGGGGAAUUUUGGCAAUGGGGGAACCCUGAUCAACCAUCCCGCGUGUGCAAUAAGCCUUCGGGUUUAAAGCAUUUUUGGAGGAAAGAACGUCCCGGGUAUACCCGAAACUACGGUCCUGCAAAUAAGAC